rnacentral:rRNA from 1 species
AGCGAACGCUGGCGGCGUACUUAACACAUGCAAGUCGAACGAGGAUCAUCGGGUUAGCAAUAAUUCGGUGGUCCUAGUGGCGCACGGGUGAGUAACACGUGGGUGACCUGCCCUUGAGCUCGGGAUACCCCCUCGAAAGGGGGGCUAAUACCGGACACGUUCCUCGGUUGAAAGACUGAGGAGGAAAGGUGGCGCAAGCUGCCGCUCUUGGAGGGGCUCGCGGCCUAUCAGCAGUUGGCGGGGUAACGGCCCACCAAGGCUAUGACGGGUAGCUGGUCUGAGAGGACGACCAGCCACACGGGGACUGAGACACGGCCCCGACUCCUACGGGAGGCAGCAGUGGGGAAUUUUCCGCAAUGGGCGAAAGCCUGACGGAGUGACGCCGCGUGUGGGACGAAGGCCUUCGGGUCGU